GUUUCUGCAGUGUAGUGGUAAUUACGUUCGCCUCACAUGUGAAAGGUCCCUGGUUCAAAACUGGGUGGGAUGA